rnacentral:lncRNA from 10 species
CCGUGAAGAGAGUGAAAAGUCAAGCCACAAACUGGGAGAAGACAUUUGCAUUAUGUCUUGUCUCAAAGGACUCAUAUUCGGAAUAUAUAAAGAACCCUCACAAAUCAAUAAGCCAGGGUUCUAAAGGUCCAGUUUGGCUUAGCUGAUCCUCCAUUCAAGACUUGGAUAAAUGACUCUGCUUCAGGCUGUUGGAUUGGUUGGGUUCUGUCGGUGCCAAAUCCAAGGUUGGGUUUACUCUGCUCCACAUUUGAUAAUUCUCAGGAUAAGGAGCCAGAGUAAGAAAAGAUAGAGGGUG